rnacentral:rRNA from 1 species
UACGUAGGUCCCGAGCGUUGUCCGGAUUUAUUGGGCGUAAAGCGAGCGCAGGUGGUUUAUUAAGUCUGGUGUAAAAGGCAGUGGCUCAACCAUUGUAUGCAUUGGAAACUGGUAGACUUGAGUGCAGGAGAGGAGAGUGGAAUUCCAUGUGUAGCGGUGAAAUGCGUAGAUAUAUGGAGGAACACCGGUGGCGAAAGCAGCGCACCGGCGCCCUACUGACACUCAGGCACGAAAGCGUGGGUAUCGAACAGG